UACGAAGGGGGCUAGCGUUGCUCGGAAUCAUUGGGCGUAAAGGGUGCGUAGGCGGCGCGGUAAGUCGGGUGUGAAAUCUCGGGGCUUAACUCCGAAACUGCAUUCGAUACUGCCGUGCUUGAGGACUAGAGAGGAGACUGGAAUUUACGGUGUAGCGGUGAAAUGCGUAGAUAUCGUAAGGAAGACCAGUGGCGAAGGCGGGUCUCUGGGCCGAUACUGACGCUGAGGAGCGAAAGCGUGGGGAGCGAACAGG
rnacentral:rRNA from 1 species